UACGUAGGUGGCAAGCGUUGUCCGGAUUUACUGGGCGUAAAGAGCGCGCAGGCGGUCGUUCAAGUCGCGUGUGAAAGCCCCCGGCUCAACUGGGGAGGGUCACGCGAUACUGAUCGACUCGAAGGCAGGAGAGGGAAGUGGAAUUCCCGGUGUAGUGGUGAAAUGCGUAGAUAUCGGGAGGAACACCAGUGGCGAAGGCGGGUCUCUGGACAGUUCCUGACACUGAGGCACGAAGGCCAGGGGAGCAAACGGG
rnacentral:rRNA from 1 species